GCAUAUCAAUAAGCGGAGGAAAAAGAAACCAACAGGGAUUGCCUCAGUAACGGCGAGUGAAGCGGCAACAGCUCAAAUUUGAAAUCUGGCCCCAGGCCCGAGUUUGUAAUUUGCAGAGGAUGCUUCCGGUGCGGCGCCGUCCAAGUCCCCUGGAACGGGGUGCCACAGAGGGUGAGAGCCCCGUCGGGUCGGCCGCCAAGCCUAUGUGAAGCUCCUUCGACGAGUCGAGUAGUUUGGGAAUGCUGCUCUAAAUGGGAGGUAGACCCCUUCUAAAGCUAAAUACCGGCCAGAGACCGAUAGCGCACAAGUAGAGUGAUCGAAAGAUGAAAAGCACUUUGAAAAGAGGGUUAAACAGUACGUGAAAUUGUUGAAAGGGAAGCGCUUGUGACCAGACGUGCGCCGGGCGUUCAGCGGGCGUUCUCGCCCGUGUACUCGCCCCGGCGCAGGCCAGCGUCGGUUCGGAUGGGUGGACAAAGGUGCUAGGAACGUGGCUCCCUCGGGAGUGUUAUAGCCUGGUGCGUCAUGCCCCCGUCCGGACCGAGGUUCGCGCUCUGCAAGGACGCUGGCGUAAUGGUCCCCAGCGGCCCGUCUUGAAACACGGACCAAGGAGUCGAGGUUUUGUGCGAGUGUCUGGGUGUCAAACCCGCACGCGUAAUGAAAGUGAACGCAGGUGGGAGCUUCGGCGCACCACCGACCGAUCCUGAAGUUUUCGGAUGGAUUUGAGUAAGAGCAUAGGGCCUCGGACCCGAAAGAUGGUGAACUAUACUUGGAUAGGGUGAAGCCAGAGGAAACUCUGGUGGAGGCUCGCAGCGGUUCUGACGUGCAAAUCGAUCGUCAAAUCUGAGUAUGGGGGCGAAAGACUAAUCGAACCAUCUAGUAGCUGGUUACCGCCGAAG
rnacentral:rRNA from 1 species